rnacentral:rRNA from 1 species
CCUACGGGAGGCAGCAGUGAGGAAUAUUGGUCAAUGGACGAGAGUCUGAACCAGCCAAGUAGCGUGAAGGAUGACUGCCCUAUGGGUUGUAAACUUCUUUUAUAAAGGAAUAAAACGAGGCACGUGUGCCUUUUUGCAUGUACUUUAUGAAUAAGGAUCGGCUAACUCCGUGCCAGCAGCCGCGGUAAUACGGAGGAUCCGAGCGUUAUCCGGAUUUAUUGGGUUUAAAGGGAGCGUAGAUGGGUUGUUAAGUCAGUUGCGAAAGUUUGCGGCUCAACCGUAAAAUUGCAAUUGAUACUGGCAGUCUUGAGUACAGUUGAGGUAGGCGGAAUUCGUGGUGUAGCGGUGAAAUGCUUAGAUAUCACGAAGAACCCCGAUUGCGAAGGCAGCUUACUAAACUGUGACUGACAUUGAUGCUCGAAAGUGUGGGUAUCAAACAGGAUUAGAUACCCUAGUAGUC